rnacentral:rRNA from 1 species
AACACUGGCGGCGUGGAUUAGGCAUGCAAGUCGAACGGGAAAGCCCUUCGGGGUGAGUAGAGUGGCGAACGGGUGAGUAACGCGUGGGAAACCUACCCUUCGGUGGGGGAUAACAGGCCUAACGGCCUGCUAAUACCGCAUACGUCCUCGAGGUCGCAUGGCCUCCUGGAGAAAGGUGGCCUCUCCUUGGAAGCUGCCGCGGAAGGAUGGUCCCGCGUCCCAUUAGCUUGUUGGUGGGGUAACGGCCUACCAAGGCGACGAUGGGUAGCCGGCCUGAGAGGGUGUCCGGCCACACUGGGACUGAGAUACGGCCCAGACUCCUACGGGAGGCAGCAGUCGAGAAGCUUCGGCAAUGGGCGAAAGCCUGACCGAGCGACGCCGCGUGAGCGAUGAAGGCCCUAUGGGUUGUAAAGCUCUGUCAGAUUGGGAGGAAAACUUCGGGAUCAAUACCCCCGAAGCUUGACGGUACCAUCAGAGGAAGCACCGGCUAACUCCGUGCCAGCAGCCGCGGUAAUACGGAGGGUGCGAGCAUUGUUCGGAUUCACUGGGUAUAAA